rnacentral:tRNA from 1 species
AGUUAAAUAGUUUAAUUAAAACGAUUAAUUGUUAAUUAAUAGUUGGUGGUUACACCUUUAACAA